rnacentral:rRNA from 1 species
UACGUAGGGUGCAGGCGUUAAUCGGAAUUACUGGGCGUAAAGCGUGCGCAGGCGGUUUUGUAAGUCUGUCGUGAAAGCCCCGGGCUCAACCUGGGAACCGCGCUUGAGACUGGCACGCUCGAGUUCGGGAGAGGAUGGUGGAAUUCCCAGUGUAGAGGUGAAAUUCGUAGAUAUUGGGAAGAACACCGAUGGCGAAGGCAGCCAUCUGGACCGACACUGACGCUGAGGCGCGAAAGCGUGGGGGAGCAAACAGG